AGCAGUAGGGAAUCUUCCACAAUGGGCGCAAGCCUGAUGGAGCAACGCCGCGUGAGUGAUGAAGGCCUUCGGGUUGUAAAACUCUGUCUUCUGUGACGAACAAGUAUGUGAGUGGAAAGCUCAUACCCUGACGGUAACAGAGGAGGAAGCCACGGCUAACUACGUGCCAGCAGCCGCGGUAAUACGUAGGUGGCAAGCGUUGUCCGGAAUCACUGGGCGUAAAGCGCGCGCAGGCGGCGAUCUACGUCUGGGGUGAAAGCCCGGAGCUCAACUCCGGGACUGCCUUGGAUACGGGAUCGCUUGAGGAUUGGAGAGGCAAGGGGAAUUCCACGUGUAGCGGUGAAAUGCGUAGAUAUGUGGAGGAACACCUGUGGCGAAGGCGCCUUGCUGGCCAAUUUCUGACGCUGAGG
rnacentral:rRNA from 1 species